GAUCCUGGCUCAGGAUGAACGCUGGCGGCGUGCCUAAGGUAUGCAAGUCGAAUGCCGAUGAGCAUUAAGUCUACAAGUGAAGGUUUCCUUUAGGGAAUUUUUGCAGAUUUAAUGCUCAUCGGCAUGGCAGACGGCUGAGUAAUACAUGAGAACUUACCCCAAACAUGGGAAUAACAUCGCGAAAGCGGUGCUAAUACCCAAUAUGAAAUACUGCGUGGAGCAGUAUUUUGAAAGCUCCGGCGGUUUGGGAUAGGCUCAUGGCCUAUCAGCUUGUUGGUGAGGUAAAAGCUCACCAAGGCUUUGACGGGUAGGGGACCUGAGAGGGUGACCCCCCAGAAUGGGACUGCAACACGGCCCAUACUCCUACGGGAGGCAGCAAUUAGGAAUCAUGCGCAAUGGACUAACGUCUGACGCUGCGACGCCGCGUGGAGGAUGAAUGCCUUCGGGUUGUAAACUCCUUUUAUGAGGGAACAAAUUUUGAGUGUACCUCAAGAAUAAGCACCUUCUAACUACGUGCCAGAAGAAUCGGUGAUACGUAGGGUGCAAGCGUUAUCCGGAAAUAUUGGGCGUAAAGAGAUGCGUAGGCGUUCCAUUAAGUUUGAUGUUAAAUUCCGAGGCUCAACUUCGGAGCUGCACCAGAUACUGGUGGAAUUGAGGAUGUCAGAGGAAAGGGGAACAUCUGGUGGAGCAGUGAAAUGCGUUGAUAUCAGAUGGAACACCAAUGGCGAAGGCACCUUUCUGGGACAUUUCUGACGCUGAGGCUGAAAGCUAGGGGCGCGAAACGGAUUAGAUACCCGUGUAGUCCUAGCUGUAAACGAUCUCUGCUAGAUAUUUGUUAAGCUAUUAUACUUCCUUCGGGAAUUAUAGUGCUUAAUGAGUGUCGUAGCUAACGCGUUAAGCAGAGCGCCUGGGUAGUACGAGCGCAAGCUUAAAACCCAAAGGAAUUGACGGGGACCCGCACAAGCAGUGGAGCGCCUGGUUUAAUUCGAUGCUAAGCGAAGAAUCUCACCAGGGCUUGAACUGUAGCUACUAAGCCUAUGAAAGUAGGUCUAUGGGUUCGAAGCUACAGAGGUGCUGCAUGGCUGUCGUCAGCUCGUGUCGUGAGAUGUUGGGUUAAGUCCCGCAACGAGCGCAACCCCUAUCCAUUGUUAUAAUUUCUAUGGAGACCGCCUUGCCAAAACGAGGAGGAAGGUGGGGACGACGUCUAGUCAUCAUAGCCCUUAUGUCCUGGGCUACACAGACGCUACAAUGGUCAAUACAACGGGUGGCCAAACCGCGAGGUGGAGCUAAUCCCUUAAAAUUGACCCCAGUUCGAAUUGUAGGCUGAAAUUCGCCUACAUGAAGUCGGAAUUGCUAGUAAUCGCAGAUCAGCAUGCUGCGGUGAAUACGUUCUCGGGUCUUGCA
rnacentral:rRNA from 1 species